rnacentral:lncRNA from 1 species
UCCCUUCUCUGUGUGUGCUGUGCACACAGACCUGGAACACAUCCUGGUGUAGCCCUCUCAACCCUAACAGAGCGGGAGAACUUUCCAGAGGUGUGGAUGGAGACUUGGGGGAACUGUCUGAUGUGGGAGCUGCUCAGCGCUGGUCUGGAUGCAGUCUCACAGAAACCAAGAGGAGCGCUCACCCAGUCUCUCCAUGUCCCUUCCGGGUUUUUCUUAAUGACGGGCUCAAGACGUUUGAGAAGGAUCUGACAGGCAUUCUAGCAGAAAUCAACAAGAAAGCCUUGUGGUUAGGACUUGUGGCCAAGGAUCGUCAGCGACCACAGGUUAGCAAGUGCUUCCUUGCUCCUUAUAUUUUGGGAACAAAAGAUAGCACACAGCUGGGCCCUUGAGGUUAGCAUCAACUGGGACUUGCUCUCCCCAUCUUGCUUCACUUCUUAUGAAAAUAAACCAGACCUCUGCUCUCAGAUCCUCUUUGAUAGAUCGUCCGGCUUUACCUCCCUCUUUUCUUUAACUACAUCUUUGAACUUUACUUUGUGCUUUCCAGUUAUUAAAAUAAAUGGAAUAAACAUUGUAUUUUCAUUCAAA